rnacentral:rRNA from 1 species
UUGACGGGACCCGCACAAGCGUGGAUGAUGUGGUUUAAUUCGAUGCAACGCGAAAACCUUACCACCUUUGACAUGUACGGAAUCCUUUAGAGAUAGAGGAGUGCUCGAAAGAGAGCCGUAACACAGGUGCUGCAUGGCUGUCGUCAGCUCGUGUCGUGAGAUGUUGGGUUAAGUCCCGCAACGAGCGCAACCCUUGUCAUUAGUUGCCAUCAUUUGGUUGGGCACUCUAAUGAGACUGCCGGUGACAAACCGGAGGAAGGUGGGGAUGACGUCAAGUCCUCAUGGCCCUUAUGGGUAGGGCUUCACACGUCAUACAAUGGUCGGUACAGAGGGUUGCCAACCCGCGAGGGGGAGCUAAUCCCACAAAGCCGAUCGUAGUCCGGAUCGCAGUCUGCAACUCGACUGCGUGAAGUCGGAAUCGCUAGUAAUCGUGGAUCAGCAUGUCACGGUGAAUACGUUCCCGGGUCUU